rnacentral:rRNA from 1 species
UACAGAGGGUGCAAGCGUUAAUCGGAAUUACUGGGCGUAAAGCGUGCGUAGACGGUCAUGUAAGUCGGGUGUGAAAGCCCCGGGCUCAACCUGGGAAUUGCAUUCGAGACUGCAUGGCUAGGAUGCGGAAGAGGGAAGCGGAAUUUCCGGUGUAGCGGUGAAAUGCGUAGAUAUCGGAAGGAACACCAGUGGCGAAAGCGGCUUCCUGGUCCAGCAUCGACGGUUCAGGCACGAAAGCGUGGGGAGCAAACAGG